rnacentral:other from 1 species
UGUUUCCUAGGGUGUUCGCUAGCAGAGAUGUUCCUCGAGCCGAUGCUUUACUAUUUGGGAGCUUGUCAUCUGCUGAUGUUGUGCAUAUCCGGUUUACCGGAGAGCCUGAUUUAGUAAACGAGCCCCCCCCUGAACCUCCGGGUUCAAGGAGCUUAACCUGUAACGGCAUCAUUGGGAACCAU